UAAUACCCAAGGACUUUAAACAAAAUAAAUCUACCUCUGAAUGCUGGAGACCAACAUCCUGCUCUAAAAUCCCUGCCUUGUCUUGCCAUAGCAAUCAGAGGAAGGGGUCUUCCCUAUUUAAUGCGAUACCUUAAUUAACCAGACCUCAAGAGCAUCAACAAGCUACCAAACGUUGGGAUGCUUCUGGUUUCUGCCUGUCAGAUGAGGGCUGUAGACAUGCAGCAAACCAACAACAGAUAUUUUGUCUGGACACAGACAAGUCUUACGAAGGUCUUACAGACAAGAGGAUUCUGUGUGUGAGUCCGUGACUGGGACCCAGACACGCAGAUUUGCCAGUCAAUUGAGCCCUUAGCUACAGCUGGAUUAAUCUAUCAACCUAUUAUUCAAACCACGUGUUGCUGGGCACGUCUGUUUUGAUCACCCAGGUGUGACCUGAAGCCUCUAUAACCUUCC